rnacentral:rRNA from 1 species
UACGAACUGUGCGAACGUUAUUCGGAAUCACUGGGCUUAAAGGGUGCGUAGGCGGUUACCUAAGUCAGGUGUGAAAUCUCUCGGCUCAACCGGGAAACUGCGCUUGAAACUGGGUGACUGGAGGGAUGCAGGGGUGUGUGGAACUUCCGGUGGAGCGGUGAAAUGUGUAGAUAUCGGAAGGAACGCCAGCAGCGAAAGCGGCACACUGGGCAUCUACUGACGCUGAGGCACGAAAGCUAGGGGAGUGAACGGG